rnacentral:tRNA from 1 species
AUUGGCUUGGCAGAAGACAUGCGAUUGAUUUAGGAUCAAUAUAUAAUAUUAAUAUAUUAGUCGGUU